UACGUAGGGGGCUAGCGUUGUCCGGAUUUACUGGGCGUAAAGGGCGCGUAGGCGGCGUGGUAAGUCAGCUGUGAAAUCUCCGAGCUUAACUCGGAACGGGUCAGCUGAUACUGCUGUGCUAGAGUACAGAAAGGGCAAUCGGAAUUCUUGGUGUAGCGGUGAAAUGCGUAGAUAUCAAGAGGAACACCUGAGGCGAAAGGCGGGGUUGCUAGGCUGAUACUGACGCUGGAGUGCGCGAAAGCUAAGGGGUAGCAAACGGGG
rnacentral:rRNA from 1 species